GUUAGGCAACAAAACAACCAGACUAUGAAUGUAUUUGAGCAUAAACACAACGUUUUCACAAUUUCCCAUUCAAUUGGAAUGUUUUUCCAUCUAUAAUGGAAUGUGAAGCUGUAACAAAACAUAACUACACCAAACAGUGUUCAAUUUCUA
ensembl:ncRNA C10C5.10 ncRNA